UUAAUUUGAGAUAAUUAGCUAGCUUUAGAUACAUUUUAUGUUGGCAGAAAUGAUUAAGGUCAAAUGUCUUCAAUGUUUAUAGUUACCAACCAUAAACAGAUGUAUCCAGUAUAUGAUUGUUUUAUUGCGGGUGUUCAAGCAUCCCUGAGACGAAGUCAACAUCAAGCUACUUGGGCUUCUCAUAUGAAUGGGAAUAUUCCAUUUCAUUUGGAAAUCAAGGUCCUAGAGUCAUGAUUCAUGUUCUUUGUCAUGUUCAUGCCGUGUUUAGCCACUCAUUCAGCUCACCUGUCUCACCUGGGUCCCGCCCUACUUAAACACCUCUCAUCUUCUGCCCCCUUGCCAGAUUAUCGACCGCCCCCGAGCCAGUAGAGAUCCAAUGUUUUCUUCCAAGCCUUCGGUGUAUUUUCUGCCCACCCCUUCUGCCAAGCUCUUUACGGAUCCCAUCUGUUUCGGAUUUCUGGACCCCGACCCAAGCUGUGCCUCGCGACCACCGAGUAUUGCCUGCCCUUCCUGCUAAGUUUUGCUCUCUCUGUCCUCCUGUGUGUGAUCUCAGUUUGAUCAUCGUCAAAGUCCCUCGAUGUUGCUUUUUUGGGACCUCUCUGUGGAGCUCUUCUUUGAUUCGUCGCACUCACAGAAGCCUGUUCAAUCUGGUUACCUGCACCUCCCUGCCAUCAAAGCCUCGGUUCUUCUGCUCCACCCGUCCACUGCUCUACAGAUUGCUUGGAUGUCUGAAGAAAUCAAUGAGCCACCUCAUCGAUGCUUCAAGUCAGUCGAUGUGAGGCACUCUGGGACUGUUGAAACGAAAUAUCUCUUCAUGCACAUGCUCAAUUACUAUCUGGUCAGUAUCCGAUAUGUUUUUCCUCACCUUCAAUCAUUAUGAAGUGGACUUAAAAAAAUCAAUAGAUCAGAGACAAUUUGACAUCUAACUGAAUGGAGCUAAUUACAUUUAACUACUCAUUUUGAACUAAUAUGAAAUGUAUGAAAAAGUCCAAAUUUGACCACAAAUACAUAGUAUUUUCAGUUUUGCUGACUCAAUUGCUACAUAAUAAACCUUUUUAUGUCCAACAGCCUCAGCUGUAAAAGUUGGAACAAAUGUUCACAGUAAAACAUUUUACUGCCAAGUAAUACAUUUUACACUGAAGGUAAGUACACAAAGCCAGAAUCCUACUAAUGCUAAAAGGCUAAUUAAACUGGGAGGAAACUAUAAAUCAAUCAAAUAAUUAAGACAUUUAGUUGAAGAAAUUGAAAUGAGGCUGCAGACUUUGUUUUACACCUCAACACAUCAUCAUGAAGAAUUAACUAAUGAAGUUUCAUGCAACAAAUUUAACAAAGUACUGCCUAGUGCCUAGCAUUGAUGAUGUAGAUUCCAGAGUAGUUUUUUCACUAAAACGGGUCCAUAAUUACAAAAGAAAAAGCACAAGGCUUCUUGCUUUAUUCAUCGGCAUUCUGGAUAGCAUCUGGGAAAGUCGGAAACCGUUGGCAACAGAAAACCCGAAAACCCAAAAAGUUCCAUUCUUGAUGACUGAUUCUCAUCUUCCUUCGAUACUCCAUCUUGGAUUUACCUAUUGAACUCGAUUUGUCUGAUUGGACUUCAACUAGUCAGCGAACAAAAGGAAAAGUUGAGAACGAUGACUAUGAUUUUCUGCACUAUUUUUGUAACGGUAGUCUGCCUGAAGUUUUAGCAAUGAUAGCAGAGGAAAUGAAUGAAGCCAUUUAGUCUGUAUUGGCCAAGCAUUCAAAUAUUGAAUUAACAUUGACAGCCAUCUCAUUCAGCUUGGCACUUCUCUCUUCAUGGUGGGGGGCGUUUGUUUACAGCGCAGGCAAUUACUGGUGAGCUUCAUAGCAUUGAACUGGUGCAUUACCUAGUCAUACAUCCUGUUUUCAUAGAAAAAUAGUUCAGAAGAAAAAAACAUCAAAGACAAACAAAAUACAACCAGACAUUCUUUUGACAAGCUGCUGAGACCUUCCGUGAUCUUUAAUAUGUUUGGGUUGUUUUCAGAUAACUUUUCUCCACAUCCCCUUCAAAGCGUCCUCCCUACCUGUGUAGGUGACUAUGCCUCGGACAGGUUUCUCUUUAAGUUUUAGAUUGGCUUCAUUUCUGUGACUACAAAAGUGACAGAUGCAUAUUUUUUGGAGCACCCCUCCCUUCAGGAUCCCUGACAAUCCCCCCAUUGCCAUGGCAACAGAGGCAGUAAGUUGUGGCUGAUACGCUGCUGAGGUGUUUCCCAAUCUGACAGCCCAGCUCUCAGUCUUUGUUGGUAUCUCUUUACUUUCGCCUCUCUCUCUCUCUGUCUCACACACAUACACACGCAUACACACUCUCCUCUUUCGCAUGUCAGGUGGAUUUUUUUUUUUCUUUUUUGGAGAUGAUGAGUGUCUGUAUCCCUCUUUGGUGCCACAGUGACACAGGCGCCCUGCCCAGCCCUGCUCCCUCAUUGUGCUCACUGACAUUUUCUCCAAAUUGAGGCUCUGACAUGACACAAGGGGAAGUGAAGAUGACGCUUCAGAGGUGACCAGACCACACAGACCCCUGGCACCUUCACGCAGCAGGAGUCUGCAAAGUCACUGUGGACUGCAAAGCAGGAUUAGGUUUUCUCUCAAGUGGCAGG